AAGUCGUAACAAGGUUUCCGUAGGUGAACCUGCGGAAGGAUCAUUAUUGAAUUUCUAAAAGGCUGUUGCUGACCUUUAUUGGUACGUGCACGCCUUUGUUUUUUGAACUCACACCUGUGCACUUUUUGUAGGCGUCAGCCUAUGUCUUUAUAACACACUUCAUUAAUGAAAAAAGAAUGUUAUGGUUAUGAUCAUAUACAACUUUCAACAACGGAUCUCUUGGCUCUC
rnacentral:misc_RNA from 1 species